UAUGUGUAUGUACUUGUAUGUACAUGUAUAUGUUUGUCUAUAAUAUUAAGUGUUUGUAUGCAUAUGUCAUGUAUACUCAAGCAGGUAAA
rnacentral:pre_miRNA from 1 species